rnacentral:rRNA from 1 species
AUACGUAGGUGGCGAGCGUUGUCCGGAAUUACUGGGUGUAAAGGGCGCGUAGGCGGGGAUGUAAGUCAGAUGUGAAAGCCCAAGGCUUAACUUUGGGACUGCAUCUGAAACUAUGUUUCUUGAGUGCUGGAGAGGAAAGCGGAAUUCCCAGUGUAGCGGUGAAAUGCGUAGAGAUUGGGAGGAACACCAGUGGCGAAGGCGGCUUUCUGGACAGUAACUGACGCUGAGGCGCGAAAGCGUGGGGAGCAAACAGGAUUAGAUACCCUGGUAGUCCACGCCGUAAACGAUGGAUACUAGGUGUAGGAGGUAUCGACCCCUUCUGUGCCGGAGUUAACACAAUAAGUAUCCCACCUGGGGAGUACGGCCGCAAGGUUGAA